rnacentral:rRNA from 1 species
AGGCAGCCAUCUGGCCUAAUACUGACGCUGAGGUACGAAAGCAUGGGGAGCAAACAGGAUUAGAUACCCUGGUAGUCCAUGCCGUAAACGAUGUCUACUAGCCGUUGGGGCCUUUGAGGCUUUAGUGGCGCAGCUAACGCGAUAAGUAGACCGCCUGGGGAGUACGGUCGCAAGACUAAAACUCAAAUGAAUUGACGGGGGCCCGCACAAGCGGUGGAGCAUGUGGUUUAAUUCGAUGCAACGCGAAGAACCUUACCUGGCCUUGACAUACUAAGAACUUUCCAGAGAUGGAUUGGUGCCUUCGGGAACUUAGAUACAGGUGCUGCAUGGCUGUCGUCAGCUCGUGUCGUGAGAUGUUGGGUUAAGUCCCGCAACGAGCGCAACCCUUUUCCUUAUUUGCCAGCGGGUAAUGCCGGGAACCUUAAGGAUACUGCCAGUGACAAACUGGAGGAAGGCGGGGACGACGUCAAGUCAUCAUGGCCCUUACGGCCAGGGCUACACACGUGCUACAAUGGUCGGUACAAAGGGUUGCUACCUCGCGAGAGGAUGCUAAUCUCAAAAAGCCGAUCGUAGUCCGGAUCGCAGUCUGCAACUCGACUGCGUGAAGUCGGAAUCGCUAGUAAUCGCGGAUCAGAAUGCCGCGGUGAAUACGUUCCCGGGCCUUGUACACACCGCCCGUCACACCAUGGGAGUUUGUUGCACCAGAAGUAGGUAGUCUAACCGCAAGGAG